rnacentral:rRNA from 1 species
UGGCGGACGGGUGAGUAACGCGUGGGCAACCUGGCCUGUACAGGGGGAUAACACUUAGAAAUAGGUGCUAAUACCGCAUAACGGGGGAAGCCGCAUGGCUUUUCCCUGAAAACUCCGGUGGUGCAGGAUGGGCCCGCGUCUGAUUAGCCAGUUGGCAGGGUAACGGCCUACCAAAGCGACGAUCAGUAGCCGGCCUGAGAGGGCGGACGGCCACACUGGGACUGAGACACGGCCCAGACUCCUACGGAAGGCAGCAG